rnacentral:rRNA from 1 species
UUGACGGGGGCCCGCACAAGCGGCGGAGCAUGCGGAUUAAUUCGAUGCAACGCGAAGAACCUUACCAAGGCUUGACAUGACCGAGAACGCCGCAGAAAUGUGGAACUCUUUGGACACUCGGUUACAGGUGGUGCAUGGUUGUCGUCAGCUCGUGUCGUGAGAUGUUGGGUUAAGUCCCGCAACGAGCGCAACCCUCGUCGCAUGUUGCCAGCACGUAAUGGUGGGAACUCAUGUGAGACUGCCGGGGUCAACUCGGAGGAAGGUGGGGAUGACGUCAAAUCAUCAUGCCCCUUAUGUCUUGGGCUUCACGCAUGCUACAAUGGCCGGUACAAAGGGCUGCGAUGUCGUAAGGCGGAGCGAAUCCCAAAAAGCCGGUCUCAGUUCGGAUUGAGGUCUGCAACUCGACCUCAUGAAGUCGGAGUCGCUAGUAAUCGCAGAUCAGCAACGCUGCGGUGAAUACGUUCCCGGGCCUUGUACACACCGCCCGUCAAGUCAUGAAAGUCGGUAACACCCGAAGCCGGUGGCCUAACCCUUGUGGAGGGAGCCGUCGAA